UAUUUUGUUUCUGUGCAGGGUAAAUACUGCCUGCAUUAUUUUUACACUGCAAUUUAGAUUGCAGAUUGAACUCACCACCCCGAAAUCUAUCUCUCCCUGCACAUGUUAUAUCUGCCUCCCCUGCAGUGCACAUGGUUUUGCCCAACUGCUAAAAAAUUUCCUGCUGCGAUCAACUUGGAAUAACCCCCACAGUGUAUUGAACGGAGAAGAUUCAGGUCGUUUCUGAAACUUGUGCACUCUAACCGUCUUACUUCAAGGUCAACUGACGUCUAAUAGAUUUUAAUAUUACAGAUAGAAAUCAUUACUUAGGUAAUUUCUAAAGUAUUGCAAUUCAAGGUUACAGUAAUUGAGGAUCUGUAAUACAUGUUAUUAAUUUUUCAUGGCUUUAGUGAAAAGCAAGAAACGCACCUUUUUGGUUUAAUGACUCAUAACAUGUAACUUUUCCAUGUCACAUUCAUUUUGUUUUAACCUCUCAUAAUUGUUAGCAAAUUGAUGUGAAAUUGUAUAGUUUUGCAUAAAUGCCUUAUCAGUGUUUGUUAUAUAGGUGCUGACUUGCAUUCCAGAUGGAACAUGGGGGGUAAUUCAGAUCUGAUCGCUCCCUAGCAGUUUUUUGCAGCGCUGCGAUCAGAUAGUCGCCGCCUACAGGGGAGUGUAUCUUAGCCGUGCAAGUGUGCGAUCACAUGUGCAGCCGAGCGGUAGAAAAAGAUCUUUUGCAGUUUCUGAGUAGCCCAGGACUUACUCAGCCGCUGCGAUCACUUCAGCCUGUCCGGGACCAGAAUUGACAUCAAACAUCCGCCCUGCAAACACUUGGACACGCCUGUGUUUUUCCAAACAUUCCCAGAAAACGAUGCAUUUCUUUUAGUCUGUAUAUUCCAAUAGACUAAUGGAGCCACAGUAAGCCCUGUGCCAGUUCCGAGUCAUUUUAUAUCCGUCAAAGCUCAUGCAGACAGCUGAAUUGAGUCUUCAAUCAACAGAGCCCUUUUUUUUUUUUUUUGAUAUUUCAAUUACUAUAUUACUGAAUAAACAUUUGCAGUUAUAUAGAAGAAUAUCAGGUCUGGAUUCAAGCAUAUUGCCCACAAAUAAAAUGAAUAAACAGGUCAUGACUGUAGUAUUUGUGCAGUGAUCCACUUGGUCGAAACCCAUUUAUUUUCAUGGGGAGUAUGUUUGGGGUGGCAACCGGUGCUAUUUCAUGACUGUUCUUCAACAUCAACGGUCCACUUUAUGCCCCCUGACGUAGUUUGCAGUUUCUGAUCCAGAGAUGGAUGCACACAUCUUAUCUGUCCAAGGCUUGUAAGGAGACAUGACUGCAGGCUAGAGAGCCACAGACCAUUCAUAAAGGGAUUCAAUAUGCAGGACAGUGUAUGGUUGCCAACAUUUUGUGCCUUUUACUUUUUGUGGCUUUUGUGUUUCUGAAAGGUAAAAUAAACUUUUCAUUUCUUUUUCUAAUUACCAGAUAGGCAAAUAAAAUGUGUUAAAUUGUCUGAAUGUUGCAUAGUUUCCUGCCCCCUAAAUAUAUCCAUGGGACAAUG